rnacentral:rRNA from 1 species
GAGUUUGAUCAUGGCUCAGGAUGAACGCUAGCGGCAGGCUUAACACAUGCAAGUCGAGGGGUAUAGUUCUUCGGAAUUAGAGACCGGCGCACGGGUGCGUAACGCGUAUGCAAUCUACCUUUUACAGGGGAAUAGCCCAGAGAAAUUUGGAUUAAUGCCCCAUAGUAUAGUUUUUUCGCAUGAAGAGAUUAUUAAAGUUCCAACGGUAAAAGAUGAGCAUGCGUCCCAUUAGCUAGAUGGUAAGGUAACGGCUUACCAUGGCGACGAUGGGUAGGGGUCCUGAGAGGGAGAUCCCCCACACUGGUACUGAGACACGGACCAGACUCCUACGGGAGGCAGCAGUGAGGAAUAUUGGUCAAUGGACGCAAGUCUGAACCAGCCAUGCCGCGUGCAGGAUGACGGUCCUAUGGAUUGUAAACUGCUUUUGUACGAGAAGAAACAUCCCGACGUGUCGGGACUUGACGGUAUCGUAAGAAUAAGGAUCGGCUAACUCCGUGCCAGCAGCCGCGGUAAUACGGAGGAUCCAAGCGUUAUCCGGAAUCAUUGGGUUUAAAGGGUCCGU